ensembl:misc_RNA
AAUCCUGUUACACCUGGGAUUUAGGCACUUUCAAUCUGAAAAAAUGCACAUCCUUUCAGCACUCUGGACGGACUUGAGAACUGUCCUUACGUGACCUAAAGCUGGAGUAUUUUGAGAUUGGAGAAUUAAG